AGAGUUUGAUUAUGGCUCAGGAUGAACGCUGGCGGCGUGCCUAAUACAUGCAAGUCGAGCGAACCACUUCGGUGGGAAGCGGCGAACGGGUGAGUAACACGUAGGUGAUCUGCUCAUCAGACGGGGACAACGAUUGGAAACGAUCGCUAAUACCGGAUAGGACGAAAGUUUAAAGAUGCUUCUGGCAUCACUGAUGGAUGAGCCUGCGGCGCAUUAGCUAGUUGGUGGGGUAAAGGCCUACCAAGGCGACGAUGCGUAGCCGACCUGAGAGGGUGAACGGCCACACUGGGACUGAGACACGGCCCAGACUCCUACGGGAGGCAGCAGUAGGGAAUCUUCGGCAAUGGGCGAAAGCCUGACCGAGCAACGCCGCGUGAAUGAAGAAGGCCUUCGGGUUGUAAAAUUCUGUUAUAAGGGAAGAAAGGUGAUAGGAGGAAAUGACUAUCAAUUGACGGUACCUUAUGAGAAAGCCACGGCUAACUACGUGCCAGCAGCCGCGGUAAUACGUAGGUGGCAAGCGUUAUCCGGAAUUAUUGGGCGUAAAGAGCGCGCAGGUGGUUAAUUAAGUCUGAUGUGAAAGCCCACGGCUUAACCGUGGAGGGUCAUUGGAAACUGGUUGACUUG
rnacentral:rRNA from 1 species